GAUGAACGCUAGCGGCAGGCUUAAUACAUGCAAGUCGAGGGGCAGCGGGGUAGCAAUACCGCCGGCGACCGGCAAACGGGUGCGGAACACGUACAGAACCUUCCUUUAAGCGGGGGAUAGCCCAUAGAAAUGUGGAUUAAUACCCCAUAGUAAUAUUGAUUGGCAUCAAUUGAUAUUUAAAGAUUUAUCACUUAAAGAUGGCUGUGCGGCUGAUUAGGUAGUUGGUGCGGGAACGGCCCACCAAGCCAUCGAUCAGUAACUGGUGUGAGAGCACGACCAGUCACACGGGCACUGAGACACGGGCCCGACUCCUACGGGAGGCAGCAGUAAGGAAUAUUGGUCAAUGGACGCAAGUCUGAACCAGCCAUGCCGCGUGAAGGA
rnacentral:rRNA from 1 species